rnacentral:rRNA from 1 species
UACGUAGGGUGCAAGCGUUAAUCGGAAUUACUGGGCGUAAAGCGUGCGCAGGCGGUUUUGUAAGACAGAUGUGAAAUCCCCGGGCUCAACCUGGGACCUGCAUUUGUGACUGCAAGGCUGGAGUACGGCAGAGGGGGAUGGAAUUCCGCGUGUAGCAGUGAAAUGCGUAGAUAUGCGGAGGAACACCGAUGGCGAAGGCAAUCCCCUGGGCCUGUACUGACGCUCAUGCACGAAAGCGUGGGGAGCAAACAGG